CUCCCUCUCUCCCUCCCCACCCCACCCCUCUCUGCUUUUAGAGAAAAACUUCCAGAUUAAAGCUACAGCUCCCUGAGGUUCCAGCUUCAGAACCUGUGACCCCCAGCAGCAACCAUGGCAGCCUGAGUUAGAACUUCAAGCCUCUACUUUACAAUGAGCUUUUUUUUUCUCCCUCUGCUUCAACUAAUUGCACUCUAGUAAAGUGGCAAAAUGUGAAUCACUUAGUAACAAAAUGGGCACCAGCUGCUAUUGUCAGAGAAUGGUGAUGCCGAAGAAAGGGAAAGCAACCGAAUGAAGUGUCAUGUCAGAAAUCAACCGUGCAACGUGUGAUUUGAGAAAACAUGACUACUUUACAGAGACAGGGUGUCAUUACGGCAUCACAGUAAUACGAUGCUUUGACAACUGCUGGGUCUAACAUAUCAUCAUUGCAUUAAGGUACACUGGCUUAGUUGGGGAAGGAAGAGAAAGGAUUUUUUCUUUUAAUAAGAAAUAUCUUAAGGUCUGCCUGGUUAACCUAAUGGAAGGAGAUCAUUAAUUGUAAAGGAAGACUUGUACAUCUUGACCCAUGUGCUCUGAAAGAUAAAAACACAUGGACACACAUAUGCACACACUUAUGUAUAAUUUAAGGCCAUCUUGGAUAACAUUGGAGCCCAACUAAUAGAACAGAUUUCUCUGUAAUUGGAUCACACUUAUUCAGUGUUCCUAUUUUGUGAGUGUUUGUGUGUGUGUGUGUG